rnacentral:rRNA from 1 species
UGGGGAAUUUUGGACAAUGGGCGCAAGCCUGAUCCAGCCAUGCCGCGUGCAGGAUGAAGGCCUUCGGGUUGUAAACUGCUUUUGUACGGAACGAAAAGACUCUGGUUAAUACCUGGGGUCCAUGACGGUACCGUAAGAAUAAGCACCGGCUAACUCUGUGCCAGCAGCCGCGGUAAUACAGAGGGUGCAAGCGUUAAUCGGAAUUACUGGGCGUAAAGCGCGCGUAGGUGGUUUGUUAAGUUGAAUGUGAAAUCCCCGGGCUCAACCUGGGAACUGCAUCCAAAACUGGCAAGCUAGAGUACGGUAGAGGGGGAUGGAAUUCCGCGUGUAGCAGUGAAAUGCGUAGAUAUGCGGAGGAACACCGAUGGCGAAGGCAAUCCCCUGGGCCUGUACUGACGCUCAUGCACGAAAGCGUGGGGAGCAAACA